rnacentral:rRNA from 1 species
GAUGAACGCUGGCGGCGUGCCUAAUACAUGCAAGUCGAGCGAACAGACGAGGCGCUUGCUCCUCUCACGUUAGCGGCGCACGUGUGUGUCACACGUGUAUAACCUACCUAUAAGACUGGUAUCACUUCGGGACACCGGAGCUAAUCCCGGAUAAUCUACUGAACCGCAUGGUUCAAUAGUGAAAUACGGUUUUGCUGUCACUUCUAGAUGCUUCCGCGCCGCAUUAGCUGGUUGGUAAGGUACCGGCUUACCAAGGCGACGAUGCGUAUCCGCCCUGCGAGGGUGGGUGGCCACACUGGGACUGAGACAGGGUCCAGAGGGAUACGGGAAGGAGCCAUAGGGAAUCGUGCGGCAUGGGCGGAAGACUGACGGAGAAACGCCGAGGGAGUGAGGAAGAUCUUCGGAUCGUAAAAGUCUGUUAUUGGGGAGGAACAAAUGUGUAAGUAACUAGGAGCGUCUGGACGGUACCUAAGCAGAGAGCCACGGCUAACUACGUU